rnacentral:rRNA from 1 species
CCCUUAGAUGUCCUGGGCCGCACGCGCGCUACACUGAGUGUCUGAGAUACGAGUCUGCCUGGUCCGGCAAGGUCUAGGUAAUCGCUAAAAGACACAUCAUGCUUGGGAUAGAUUAUUGCAAAUAUUAAUCUUGAACGAGGAAUUCCUAGUAAGCGCAAGUCAACAGCUUGCGUUGAUUACGUCCCUGCCCUUUGUACACACCGCCCGUCGCUACUACUGAUUGGAUGUUUAAGCGAGGUUCUCGAAGUGCUAGCGACUUAGCUUCGGUGAGGUCGCAGUGUGGGAAGUGAACCUAGCUUUGGUGUCUAGAGGAAGUAAAAGUCGUAACA